rnacentral:rRNA from 1 species
GGGUGCGAUCAUACCAGCGCUGCUGCACCGGAUCCCAUCAGAACUCCGUAGUUCAGCGCGCUUGGGCCAGAGUAGUACUAGGAUGGGUGACCUCCUGGGAAGUCCUGGUAUUGCACCUUU